UUUUAGCCCCGAUGGAAGGGAAUAUCCUUUCUAGUCCUGAACUUUUUUCAGGACUAGAAAGAUUGGAAUGACAGCGGGAUUAGCU
rnacentral:sRNA from 2 species